CAGGAGCAGAACCAGGUCACUGCGUAACACAUUCUCGCACCGUCCACACUGGAGCCCCACAGCCCCGGACACAACGCACCCAAGUGACGUAAGAAGAGCAGCUUCAGACGAAAACAGUUACAGAUGGAGAACGAAUGAGUAAAAGGAACCGGAGCGAUUGCGCAGGUGUCCGAAGUCAAAGGACAGGGAAUCAGGACCGGUGCGUCUCUUUACUACAAAACAAAGUCACUCGACUUCACCCUCUCAUGCACUCUGCGGCCAGGGAAAUCACCGCUCCCCAAUGAGCUCCCUCUCAAGUGUAUGUGUGUGUAUGUCUGCAUUCGAACAUCUGGAAGAGAUCUGUCUGCUCCCAUGAUUUACCUUCCGACCAC